UCUCCGUAGGUGAACCUGCGGAGGGAUCAUUACAGAGUUCAUGCCCUACCGGGUAGAUCUCCCACCCUAUGUUAUUAUUACUUUGUUGCUUUGGCGGGCCGUUAGGCUCCGGCCCGACUACCGGCCCCGGCUGGUAAGCGCCCGCCAGAGGACCCAAAACCCUGAAUAUUCGUGUCGUCUGAGUACUAUAUAAUAGUUAAAACUUUCAACAACGGAUCUCUUGGUUCUG
rnacentral:misc_RNA from 1 species